rnacentral:rRNA from 1 species
AUUGCCUCAGUAACGGCGAGUGAAGCGGCAAGAGCUCAAAUUUGAAAGCUGGCCCCUCCGGGGUCCGCAUUGUAAUUUGCAGAGGAUGCUUCGGGUGCAGCCCCCGUCUAAGUGCCCUGGAAUGGGCCGUCAGAGAGGGUGAGAAUCCCGUCUGGGAUGGGGUGCCUGUGCCCGUGUGAAGCUCCUUCGACGAGUCGAGUUGUUUGGGAAUGCAGCUCUAAAUGGGUGGUAAAUUUCAUCUAAAGCUAAAUAUUGGCCGGAGACCGAUAGCGCACAAGUAGAGUGAUCGAAAGAUGAAAAGCACUUUGAAAAGAGAGUUAAACAGCACGUGAAAUUGUUGAAAGGGAAGCGCUUGCGACCAGACUCGCCUCCGGGGUUCAGCCGGCAUUCGUGCCGGUGUACUUCCCCGGGGGCGGGCCAGCGUCGGUUUGGGCGGCCGGUCAAAGGCCUCCGGAAUGUAGCGCCCUUCGGGGCGCCUUAUAGCCGGGGGUGCAAUGCGGCCAGCCUGGACCGAGGAACGCGCUUCGGCUCGGACGCUGGCA